GGGGAGCGCGGGGACAGGGGAGCCCCGGCCGUGAGGGGAGCGCGGGGACAGGGGAGCCCCGGCCGUGAGGGGAGUGCGGGGGAAGCCGGUGAGCCCCAAGGAGCCCGGCCGUGCGGGGAGUUCCCGUGAACCCCGGAGAUAGGGGCUGUGACCUGUCGUGGCAGUGGAGCACACACGACAGCCGCCCUGCUGCUCCAGAGGGGAUGACAGCUUCUGACCCAUCCAGCAGCAACUGAGGGGCCAUCCUGGACAGAGAGCCAGUCCUGCUCCACUGGGAAACCUCUGAGCCGAAUCACACCUCCAAACUCUCCUUGGCUUAAACAGGCUAGCUCUUGGAGAGGUUACAAAGUCCUUCCUUUCACAGAAUACCUGAGCCCCUCAGGAGCAGUGUCCUGCCUGUCCGACAGCCUCAGUCAGAUUUAGCACAAGUGAAAGCCAAGCUUCUCCUCAGGGUUUAGGUGCCCUACCGUGGAAGAACCUUCCAGGUGGGCCAGAUUUACGUUCGGCCUUCGAUGGAGGUGACUCCCAGAAUCAACGUGAGCUAAGUGCAUCCCUCUGCCUGCCCUCACUCUGCAGUCCUGGCGAGACAAGACUGAAGUCACAGCCCUUGGGUGGUGGUGGCUCUUCUACAUGACAGAACAUUUCUGCUCGGCCGCCUGCUUCAUUUCAGUAAAGGUGGCUUGUGCCUUUUCUUUGAUC